UAGGUCAAUCCGCUCAGGGUUAGUCGGCCCCUAAGGCGAGGCUGAAAAGCGUAGCCGAUGGGAAACAGGUCAACAUUCCUGUACCUCCGUGAGGAGUCGAUCCAGGGGUGACGCAGAAGGAUAGGUGGGCCUGCGAUUGGAAGUGCAGGUUGAAGCGUGUAGGCGGGGAGGGUAGGCAAAUCCGCUCUCCCAUUCAACGCCGAGGCGUGAUCUCGAGGCCUUCGGGCCACAAAGCCAUUGACUCCAUGCUGCCAAGAAAAACCUCGAUGGGUAUCCGAUUCGGAGACCGUACCGCAAACCGACACAGGUAGACGGGGAGAGAAUCCCAAGGCGCUUGAGUGAUCCCUUGCGAAGGAACUCGGCAAAUUAACACCGUAACUUCGGGAGAAGGUGUGCCGUCGUGAGUGUAGGGGUUCGCCCCCGAAGCUCGUGACGGUCGCAGUGAAAAGGCCCAAGCGACUGUUUACCAAAAACACAGGACUCUGCAAAGUCGAAAACGACGUAUAGGGUCUGACGCCUGCCCGGUGCCGGAAGGUUAAGAGGAUGGGUCGGCCGCAAGGCGAAGCUCAGAAUCGAAGCCCCGGUAAACGGCGGCCGUAACGAUAACGGUCCUAAGGUAGCGAAAUUCCUUGUCGGGUAAGUUCCGACCUGCACGAAUGGCGUAACGAUUUGGGCACUGUCUCCGCAGGGGGCUCAGCGAAUCUGUAGUACCGGUGAAGAUGCCGGUUUCCCGCACGUAGACGGAAAGACCCUGUGCACCUUUACUGCACCCUGGCCCUGAACCCCGGUGCGGUAUGUGUAGGAUAGGUGGGAGGCUUUGAAGCCGGGGCGCUAGCCUCGGUGGAGCCAACGGUGAAAUACCACCCUUAUCGUACUGGAGUUCUAACCCAGACCCGUGAUCCGGGUCGGAGACAAGGUCAGGCGGGUAGUUUGACUGGGGCGGUCGCCUCCCAAAGAGUAACGGAGGCGCCCGAAGGUCCCCUCAGGCUGAUUGGAAACCAGCCGUAGAGCGCAAAGGCAGAAGGGGGCUUGACUGCGAGACCCACAAGUCGAGCAGGUACGAAAGUAGGGCUUAGUGAUCCGGUGGUCCCGUAUGGAAGGGCCAUCGCUCAACGGAUAAAAGGUACGCCGGGGAUAACAGGCUGAUCUGGUCCAAGAGUUCACAUCGACGACCAGGUUUGGCACCUCGAUGUCGGCUCAUCGCAUCCUGGAGCUGAAGCCGGUUCCAAGGGUUCGGCUGUUCGCCGAUUAAAGCGGUACGUGAGCUGGGUUCAGAACGCCGCGAGACAGUUCGGUCCCUAUCUCGUGUGGGCGUAGGAGACUUGAGGGGAUUCGUCCUUAGUACGAGAGGACCGGGAUGGACGAACCUCUGGUGCACCAGUUGUCGCGCCAGCGGCACGGCUGGUAGCUAUGUUCGGAAAGGAUAAACGCUGAAAGCAUCUAAGCGUGAAGCCCCCCCCGAGAUGAGGUCUCCCUGAAGGCCCCUGGUAGAUCACCAGGUUGAUAGGCGGGAGGUGUAAGGGCCGCAAGGCCUUGAGCUGACCCGUACUAAUCGGUCGUUCGGCUUGACC
rnacentral:rRNA from 1 species